rnacentral:rRNA from 1 species
GAUCAUGGCUCAGAUUGAACGCUGGCGGCAUGCCUUACACAUGCAAGUCGAACGGCAGCGGACUUCGGGUGCCGGCGAGUGGCGAACGGGUGAGUAAUGCAUCGGAACGUGCCAUUGAUGGGGGAUAACGUAGCGAAAGUUGCGCUAAUACCGCAUAUUCUGUGAGCAGGAAAGCAGGGGACCGCAAGGCCUUGCGCUCUUUGAGCGGCCGAUGUCAGAUUAGCUAGUUGGUGAGGUAACGGCUUACCAAGGCGACGAUCUGUAGCGGGUCUGAGAGGAUGAUCCGCCACACUGGAACUGAGACACGGUCCAGACUCCUACGGGAGGCAGCAGUGGGGAAUUUUGGACAAUGGGGGCAACCCUGAUCCAGCCAUGCCGCGUGAGUGAAGAAGGCCUUCGGGUUGUAAAGCUCUUUCGGCCGGGAAGAAAUCGCAUGGGUUAAUACCCUGUGUGGAUGACGGUACCGGCAUAAGAAGCACCGGCUAACUACGUG